GAUGAACGCUGGCGGCGUGCCUAAUACAUGCAAGUCGAGCGAACGGACGAGAAGCUUGCUUCUCUGAUGUUAGCGGCGGACGGGUGAGUAACACGUGGAUAACCUACCUAUAAGACUGGGAUAACUUCGGGAAACCGGAGCUAAUACCGGAUAAUAUUUUGAACCGCAUGGUUCAAAAGUGAAAGACGGUCUUGCUGUCACUUAUAGAUGGAUCCGCGCUGCAUUAGCUAGUUGGUAAGGUAACGGCUUACCAAGACAACGAUGCAUAGCCGACCUGAGAGGGUGAUCGGCCACACUGGAACUGAGACACGGUCCAGACUCCUACGGGAGGUAGCAGUAGGGAAUCUUCCGCAAUGGGCGAAAGCCUGACGGAGCAACGCCGCGUGAGUGAUGAAGGUCUUCGGAUCGUAAAACUCUGUUAUUAGGGAAGAACAUAUGUGUAAGUAACUGUGCACAUCUUGACGGUACCUAAUCAGAAAGCCACGGCUAACUACGUG
rnacentral:rRNA from 1 species